AGGGAUACAGUUAGGGUCUUUGAUUUUCUUCAUCUUUACAGGAAAAAAAUCCACAUUUAUUUAGGGUCUUGCAUGGAGAGGAACCCCUACUACACUAGUUAGUCGUGUAAUAUCUAACUUGAGUAGUGUCAAAGGCAAUGUAUUCAACCCCACUGAGAGAUUCAAGUGUUUCCCAUUGAGGCUUCACUUGAACAUCGAGGUACGGACUCCUGAAAGUGGGUGGACAUUCUGUUUGAACAUGUUGGAGCCUGGUAUAGCUGUAGAGGUCUGGCAAGAUGGGCUGAGAUCCUCCUGCACAUUAGAUUUGCUGAGACGGAAGAUUACUUUGGGAAAGUUGUUCUCUUUGUUUCAACUUGUUCGUGUCCUAUUUCACUAGAGACAUCUCUUGUCCGACGCCAGCGGUCCCCAUCAUUGUUUACGUUGAGCCCCACAUGUUUACGAUUACUUUCCCGAGAUUCUUGACAACUAAACCAACUAAAAUGACGGACACAUGUGAAACAAUACAUCUAUUUUUGGACAUAUUUCUUUUCUCUUAAAAGAAGAUGUGGGUAUUACUUAUACUUUUAAUGAAACAGUGCUAAUAGUUCUCAGAUAAUUACCAAAAGCCAUUGGCUGUUCAUUUCGCCUCACGUCAAUAAAAAUACAUGUAUGUGUUUCCAGGCGUCGACAUGAUUGUACUAGGCUUGUGUUUAGUUACGUAAAUGUGUUAGCACAUGACGCGUAUUUGUUUGUACAGAUACUUUAAAGACAAAGAUUGACCUUUUAUUUCUCUUUGGUCUUUCAAUGAAUUCUAUAUAGGCAAGUGUACUAAGAGUCGGCUAGAGACAAGUUCUGAAUUGUUGAAUUGCUGAAAUAGUGAUAGUUUAAGAACCGCCAGAUAUGAGAGAGGGUGGGGGAGAAAUCAAUGUUAAUUUGAUAGGAGAAAGCUUGUAUGAAGUGGGAGGGGAUGGAGUGGAUCUGCUGAUAAGUUUGACUUAGCCUCGACCAUGCAUACCCCUUUACAUUCCUACCUUGAUGAGAUAGGAGUCGAUUGCUAAGAGCUGAUGAUUGGAUGCUAGCGAUAUCAGGUCGGAUGGGGCGCUGGUGGUGGUAAAUAUUUCUUGUAAACAGCAAUGUCUCAACUUGCGCUGUAGUUUUUCUUUUUUUUUCAUACAAAUAUAUUCUUUUGUCUUGUCCGAGUACAGGGGGGGGAGGGCGGAUCGGGAGUGGGUCCCUAGUAAGCUCAGCUCGAUAAAACAAUAAUAGAAGCAACGUGGAAGGGGGGCGUGACAGAGAUCAAAGUAUAAGUGUCUUUCGCUAGUCAAUAAAUUGUGGCGUCCCAGCCCAGGGUCCAUUCAGAGUGUGAUCGACGUUCGAACUUGUGGCUCGGAGUGAGGAGACUCCAAGCAAGCUGGCUGUGCGACUUGCUGGACACUCCAGUUGGUAUUCACUUGGUGUGGAAGGAAGUUUUGCUUGAUAUAUGUCAGCCUUUUCUCUCUCCGUCUGUGUCUCUUGUUGUCUCUGAUGUAUUGUAAGUGAAAUCAAGGAGACAUUCUUGGGCAAGUCUUUAUGUCUUGAAUUUAUUAUUGGACACAAUUUCAAGGUGCUGCAUUUAAUCUUUUUGUCGGAUCAGUUUGAAGUUGUUCACUUUUAUCUGUAGACCGAUUUGUUCUAGCUAAUAAGUUCUGUAACAAUUUAAAAAUAGUUCGCUGACAACAGAGAUUGUGUUUUAGGAGAUUCCCGUUUUCUGUUUUUAUUCUUGUAUCAUUUCCAGUAACAAGCUUUGAUCAACAGUUUGUUGAAAGAGCCGAUGCUACAUUUUAGUUUGUGUGACGUCACUUUCAUUUGAAACUUGUGCUGUUAACAGGAGCGGCUGGCGCUGUCAUUGUGUUAAAUAGAUGAAGCAUAGAGAUUGAAGCUGUACUGGCCCAAAACCAGCUGCAUAAGUGUACGGAGAGAACUUAAUGAUAAGUGUACAUUACCAAUGUCUAAGUCUAGAUUCUAGCAGAGAGUUUUACAAUUCAUGGGGAGAAACGGUGAUUUCAACAACUUGCAGCUAGUAGAUGCUACGGGUAGCCACGUGACUACAACAUUAAGACCAAGCCUGGAAAGGAAAGCAAACAAAAAUGUUCUGGUUUCUGCUUCAUCAUAUUAAUGCAAGUCUUAAAGAUCGUCUUGACGUUUUGAAUGGAACUUUGCAUCUUUUACUGUUUGCACAAGAUGAGACUCACCCGCAAGAGCUAAUUGUCUAUUUGAAAACUAGUAGUGGAAAUGAAGAAUCAGUAUCUUAGGAAAGAAAUUUAUUUUGAAGCCGUGGAUAGGACAUCGCCGCCAACCUUUUUCAGAUCAAUGUUUAUUCUUAAUGUUCAGUGGUAAAAUGUUCACUGACCCAAAUGUAUACCCGGUCUGUUACUUGUAUCUCAAUGUUACAUUUCAUAAGAAAGAUGUGUUGGUAGAUAACUGAUGUUUUGUUUCAUCAGAAAGAUGUGUUGGUAGAUAACGGAUGUUUUGUUUCAUAAGAAAGAUGUGUUGGUAGAUAACGGAUGUUUUGUUUCAUAAGAAAGAUGUGUUGGUAGAUAACUGAUGUUUUGUUUCAAUAAAUAAAGUUUAUUAAGUGCA